rnacentral:rRNA from 1 species
GAUGAACGCUAGCGGCAGGCCUAACACAUGCAAGUCGAGGGGUAGAGGAAGCUUGCUUCCUUGAGACCGGCGCACGGGUGCGUAACGCGUAUGCAAUCUACCUUGUACUGAGGGAUAGCCCAGAGAAAUUUGGAUUAAUACCUCAUAGCAUUAUGAUGUGGCAUCACAUUAUAAUUAAAGUUCCAACGGUACAAGAUGAGCAUGCGUCCCAUUAGUUAGUUGGUAAGGUAACGGCUUACCAAGACAAUGAUGGGUAGGGGUCCUGAGAGGGAGAUCCCCCACACUGGUACUGAGACACGGACCGGACUCCUACGGGAGGCAGCAGUGAGGAAUAUUGGUCAAUGGGCGCAAGCCUGAACCAGCCAUGCCGCGUGCAGGAUGAAGCAUCUAUGGUGUGUAAACUGCUUUUAUACGGGAAGAAACACUCCUACGUGUAGGAACUUGACGGUACCGUAAGAAUAAGGAUCGGCUAACUCCGUGCCAGCCGCCGCGGUAAUAC